GCCUGCAACCAUCCAGUGGGGGUUAUGAACUCCGCAAAGGCCACAAGAUAACCUUCCCCAACAUUGUUGUGCUUGAGGGUGAAACGGAUCAGGGGGCAUCCAUUCGUGUGGCAAGAGAGUGCCGACAGCGUGGCAACGAUACCUUCAAAGAAGGC
rnacentral:ribozyme from 9 species